rnacentral:rRNA from 1 species
GACGAACGCUGGCGGCGUGUUUAACACAUGCAAGUCGAACGGAAAGGCCCUGCUUUUGUGGGGUGCUCGAGUGGCGAACGGGUGAGUAACACGUGAGUAACCUGCCCUUGACUUUGGGAUAACUUCAGGAAACUGGGGCUAAUACCGGAUAGGAGCUCCUGCUGCAUGGUGGGGGUUGGAAAGUUUCGGCGGUUGGGGAUGGACUCGCGGCUUAUCAGCUUGUUGGUGGGGUAGUGGCUUACCAAGGCUUUGACGGGUAGCCGGCCUGAGAGGGUGACCGGCCACAUUGGGCCUGAGAUACGGCCCAGAAUCCUACGGGAGGCAGCAGUGGGGAAUAUUGCACAAUGGGCGGAAGCCUGAUGCAGCAACGCCGCGUGCGGGAUGACGGCCUUCGGGUUGUAAACCGCUUUCGCCUGUGACGAAGCGUGAGUGACGGUAAUGGGUAAAGAAGCACCGGCUAACUACGUG